GAUCAUGGCUCAGGAUAGAACGCUGGCGGCGUGCUUAACACAUGCAAGUCGAACGAAGCACUUUAUUUGAUUUCCUUCGGGACUGAUUAUUUUGUGACUGAGUGGCGGACGGGUGAGUAACGCGUGGGUAACCUGCCUUGUACAGGGGGAUAACAGUUGGAAACGGCUGCUAAUACCGCAUAAGCGCACAGCAUCGCAUGAUGCAAUGUGAAAAACUCCGGUGGUAUAAGAUGGACCCG
rnacentral:rRNA from 1 species